rnacentral:rRNA from 1 species
AGAGUUUGAUUCUGGCUCAGAACGAACGCUGGCAGCGUGGAUUAGGCAUGCAAGUCGAACGAGAAACCGCAGAUUCAAUCUUCGGAGAGUGUCUGCGGUGGACAGUGGCGGAAGGGUGAGUAACGCGUGGGUAAGCUACCCCCAAGUUGGGAACAACCUUGGGAAACUGGGGCUAAUGCCGAAUGUGGUCCUCUGUCGCAUGGCAGGGUGACUAAAGGUGGGGACUCUUCGGAACCUGCCGCUUGGGGAGGUGCCCGCGUGCCAUCAGCUUGUUGGUGAGGUAACGGCCCACCAAGGCUAACGGCUAGCUGGUCUGAGAGGAUGAUCAGCCACACUGGGACUGAGACACUGCCCAGACUCCUACGGGAGGCUGCAGUCGAGGAUCAUUCGCAAUGCGCGAAAGCGUGACGAUGCGACGCUGCGUGGAGGAUGAAGGCUUUCGGGUCGUAAACUCCUGUCAUUCGGGAAAAACGGCAGGCGGGUUAAUACCCCGUCUGCGUGAUGGUACCGGAAGAGGAAGCCACGGCUAACUCUGUGCCAGCAGCCGCGGUAAUACAGAGGUGGCGAGCGUUGUUCGGAUUCACUGGGCGUAAAGCGUGUGCAGGCGGUAUCGUAUGUCGGAUGUGAAAUCCCACGGCCCAACCGUGGAAUGGCAUCCGAAACUGCGGAACUUGAGUACAGGAGGGGAGAGCGGAAUUCUUGGUGUAGCGGUGAAAUGCGUUGAUAUCAAGAAGAACACCGGUGGCGAAGGCGGCUCUCUGGAAUGUUACUGACGCUAAAGCACGAAAGUUGGGGGAGCAAACAGGAUUAGAUACCCUGGUAGUCCCAACCGUAAACGGUGUGCACUUGGUGUUGGAGGUAUUGACCCCUUCAGUGCCGGAGCUAACGCGUUAAGUGCACCGCCUGGGGAGUACGGCCGCAAGGCUAAAACUCAAAGAAAUUGACGGGGGCCCGCACAAGCGGAGGAGCAUGUGGCUUAAUUCGAUGCAACGCGAAGAACCUUACCUGGGCUUGACAUCUAGCUGCACGCCCCGGGAAACCGGGGAAGCCUUUGAGGGUGCUAGACAGGUGCUGCAUGGCUGUCGUCAGUUCGUGCCGUGAGGUGUUGGGUUAAGUCCCGCAACGAACGCAACCCUUGUGGUUAGUUGCCACCGUGGGUGAUAAGCCCACGAGCACUCUAGCCAGACUGCCCGUACAAGCGGGAGGAAGGUGGGGAUGACGUCAAGUCAGUAUGGCCCUUACGUCCAGGGCUGCACACGUGCUACAAUGGUCGGUACAGAAGGAAGCAAUACCGCGAGGUGGAGCAAAUCCCCAAAACCGGCCUCAGUUCGGAUUGGAGUCUGCAACUCGACUCCAUGAAGUUGGAUUCGCUAGUAACGGCGUAUCAGCUACGACGCCGUGAAUACGUUCCCGGGCCUUGUACACACCGCCCGUCACAUCAUGGAAGCCGUCUGGACCCGAAGUCGCUGGGCUAACCCGCAAGGGAGGCAGGUGCCGAAGGUCUGGGUGGUGACUGGGAUGAAGUCGGAACAAGGUA